rnacentral:rRNA from 1 species
GAUGAACGCUAGCUACAGGCUUAACACAUGCAAGUCGAGGGGUAACGAGAGGAAAGCUUGCUUUCCUUGUCGACGACCGGCGCACGGGUGAGUAACGCGUACCCAACCUGCCCCCAACUAGGGAAUAACCUUGCGAAAGUAAGACUAAUACCCUAUAAUUUCCUCAGAUGUCAUCUGACGAGGAAUAAAGAUUUAUCGGUUGUGGAUGGGGAUGCGUCUGAUUAGCUUGUCGGCGGGGUAACGGCCCACCAAGGCAACGAUCAGUAGGGGUUCUGAGAGGAAGGUCCCCCACAUUGGAACUGAGACACGGUCCAAACUCCUACGGGAGGCAGCAGUGAGGAAUAUUGGUCAAUGGGCGGAAGCCUGAACCAGCCAAGUAGCGUGCAGGAUGACGGCCCUAUGGGUUGUAAACUGCUUUUAUACAGGAAUAAAGUUAGCCACGUGUGGUUAUUUGUAGGUACUGUAUGAAUAAGGACCGGCUAAUUCCGUGCCAGCCGCCGCGGUAA